rnacentral:rRNA from 1 species
UACAGAGGUCCCAAGCGUUGUUCGGAUUCACUGGGCGUAAAGGGUGCGUAGGCGGUCGGGUAAGUCUGAUGUGAAAUCUCACAGCUUAACUGUGAAACUGCAUUGGAUACUAUCCGGCUUGAGGAAUGGAGGGGAGACUGGAAUACUUGGUGUAGCAGUGAAAUGCGUAGAUAUCAAGUGGAACACCAAUGGCGAAGGCAGAUCUCUGGGCCGUAACUGACGCUGAGGAGCGAAAGCAUGGGGAGCGAACAGG